GCAAGUCGAGCGGUAACAGAAAUUAGCUUGCUAAUUUGCUGACGAGCGGCGGACGGGUGAGUAAUGCUUGGGAACAUGCCUUGAGGUGGGGGACGACAGUUGGAAACGACUGCUAAUACCGCAUAAUGUCUACGGACCAAAGGGGGGGAUGCUUCGGCACCUCUCGCUCAUAGAUUAGCCCAGGUGAGAUUAGCUUGUUGGUGAGGUAAGAGCUCACCAAGGCGACGAUCUCUAGCUGGUCUGAGAGGAUGAUC
rnacentral:rRNA from 1 species